UACGUAGGUGGCUAGCGUUGUCCGGAUUUACUGGGCGUAAAGAGCGCGCAGGCGGUCGUUCAAGUCGAGUGUGAAAGCCCCCGGCUCAACUGGGGAGGGUCACUCGGUACUGAUCGACUUGAAGGCGGGAGAGGGAAGCGGAAUUCCCGGUGUAGUGGUGAAAUUCGUAGAUAUUGGGAAGAACACCGGUGGCGAAGGCGGCGCUCUGGACCGAGACUGACGCUGAGGCGCGAAAGCGUGGGGAGCAAACAGG
rnacentral:rRNA from 1 species